GGCUAAUACCGCAUACGCUCUACGGAGGAAAGCGGGGGAUCUUCGGACCUCGCGUUAUCAGAUGAGCCUGCGUCCGAUUAGCUAGUUGGCGGGGUAAAGGCCCACCAAGGCGACGAUCGGUAGCUGGUCUGAGAGGACGAUCAGCCACACUGGAACUGAGACACGGUCCAGACUCCUACGGGAGGCAGCAGUGGGGAAUAUUGGACAAUGGGCGCAAGCCUGAUCCAGC
rnacentral:rRNA from 1 species